AGUGAACGCUGGCGGUAGGCCUAACACAUGCAAGUCGAACGGCAGCACAGUAAGAGCUUGCUCUUACGGGUGGCGAGUGGCGGACGGGUGAGGAAUACAUCGGAAUCUACUUUUUCGUGGGGGAUCACGUAGGGAAACUUACGAUAAUAUCGCAUACGACCUACGGUUGAAAGCAGGGGAUCUUUGGACCUUGCGCGAUUGAAUGAGCCGAUGUUGGAUUAGCUAGUUGGCGGGGUAAAGGCCCACCCAGGCGACGAUCCGUAGCUGGUAUGAGAGGAUGAUCAGCCACACUGGAACUGAGACACGGUACAGACGCCUACGGGAGGCAGCAGUGGGGAAUAUUGGACAAUGGGCGCAAGCCUGAUCCAGCCAUACCGCGUGGGUGAAGAAGGCCUUCGGGUUGUAAAGCCCUUUUGUUGGGAAAGAAAAGCAGCAGGUUAAUACCCCGCUGUUCUGACGGUACCCAAAGAAUAAGCACCGGCUAACUUCGUG
rnacentral:rRNA from 1 species